UUUUACUCUUCUUAUUUAAAAGCUCUUGCCUUUUAAAACUUGCCACACUCCUUCGUGUGUUAGUUAAAAGUUCUUUAGGAUAAUGUCUAAUGUCUAUCAGUAAAUGUGUUAUUCAAAAUCUGCAGUUGUUCUUUAAAAUCUCUUUCAUCUGUACAAUUUUUAAAAUCCUCAUAUGCUGCCCCUUUGGAAUAUUUCUCAACCAGUUAUGCUG